ACUCACCGAAACAAAACUUCACCUUUGUCCGACCAAAACAGUAACAAAAAAAAAGGAUUAAUAUUUGUCGGGAAUUUCUUUAACCUUCCUCGACCACAUCAUCAUCAUCAAAUCCAAUAGAACCAUCAAACAACAUUCAAUUUCAUCAAGAACUUACCGAAUCUAAUAGAUUUUCAGGUUCUUGCAAAGUCGGAUCGAUUGCUCACGAUCCACGUCCAAAGCCAAGCUCACCAUCGUUGAUCAGAUUAACAAUGAAGUCAACAGUGACAAAAAUUUAUUGGUGUAAAUCACAAUAUGAAGCAAAGAAAGAGAAGGAUGUGCAAGCUCAUGCCAUUAUGUUCAAAUAGAGGGCUUAAUAUCAGAGACAUGAGUGAUACCAUCAUUGGCGGCCAUCUCUACUAUUAAGGCAUAUGUAGAAGAAUCUGUUUGGAAACGACUGUUCCUUAAACAUGAUCCGAAUAAGGUUAUACCUGACGAUUCAGGAUCCGUGUCUCUUGGCUUUAUACUUUUACCACUUUGUCCUCGUUCAGUUUUUUUUCUUCUUUUUUGGUUUUUCAAUCGUAGGGUAGUACAUGUCAUGUUUAGUUUUUGGUUUUUUUUUUUAUCCCUAAGUGUGCUCCCUAAUUAAUAGUAUAGAUGUUGUUUUUCUUUUUAGUUUUAAAUAGAGGGAAAUUUGGGUUUUACUUCAUGUUAGUUAUUUACUCUUAACAAAACUAAUGUGUGCUAUAAGCAGAGAGAUCAUUUAAAGACAUA